rnacentral:rRNA from 1 species
UCGACGGUAACAGGCCGCAAGGUGCUGACGAGUGGCGAACGGGUGAGUAAUGCAUCGGAACGUGCCCAGUCGUGGGGGAUAACGCAGCGAAAGCUGUGCUAAUACCGCAUACGAUCUAUGGAUGAAAGCGGGGGACCGUAAGGCCUCGCGCGAUUGGAGCGGCCGAUGUCAGAUUAGGUAGUUGGUGGGGUAAAGGCCCACCAAGCCAACGAUCUGUAGCUGGUCUGAGAGGACGACCAGCCACACUGGGACUGAGACACGGCCCAGACUCCUACGGGAGGCAGCAGUGGGGAAUUUUGGACAAUGGGCGCAAGCCUGAUCCAGCAAUGCCGCGUGCAGGAAGAAGGCCUUCGGGUUGUAAGCUGCUUUUGUACGGAACGAAACGGUCUGGGUUAAUACCCUGGGCUAAUGACGGUACCGUAAGAAUAAGCACCGGCUAACUACGUGCCAGCAGCCGCGGUAAUACGUAGGGUGCAAGCGUUAAUCGGAAUUACUGGGCGUAAAGCGUGCGCAGGCGGUUUUGUAAGACAGUCGUGAAAUCCCCGGGCUCAACCUGGGAAUGGCGAUUGUGACUGCAAAGCUGGAGUGCGGCAGAGGGGGAUGGAAUUCCGCGUGUAGCAGUGAAAUGCGUAGAUAUGCGGAGGAACACCGAUGGCGAAGGCAAUCCCCUGGGCCUGCACUGACGCUCAUGCACGAAAGCGUGGGGAGCAAACAGGAUUAGAUACUCUGAUAGUCCACGCCCUAAACGAUGUCAACUGGUUGUUGGGUCUCUUCUGACUCAGUAACGAAGCUAACGCGUGAAGUUGACCGCCUGGGAGUACGCGCAAGUUGAAACUCAAAGAUUGACGGGACCCGCACAGCGGUGAUGAUGUGGUUUAAUUCCAUGCACGCCGAAAACCUUACCA